AUACGUAGGGGGCAAGCGUUAUCCGGAUUUACUGGGUGUAAAGGGAGCGUAGACGGUGUGACAAGUCUGAUGUGAAAACCCGGGGAUCACCUCCGGGAUUGCAUUGGAAACUGCCAUACUUGAGUGCAGGAGAGGUAAGCGGAAUUCCUAGUGUAGCGGUGAAAUGCGUAGAUAUUAGGAGGAACACCGGCGGCGAAGGCGGCUUACUGGACUGUAACUGACGUUGAGGCUCGAAAGCGUGGGGAGCAAACAGGAUUAGAUACCCUGGUAGUCCACGCGGUAAACGAUGAAUACUAGGUGUUGGGGGUCUAUAGACCCUCGGUGCCGCAGCAAACGCAAUAAGUAUUCCACCUGGGGAGUACGUUCGCAAGAAUGAAACUCAAAGGAAUUGACGGGG
rnacentral:rRNA from 1 species